UUGGAGGUUGUGGCCUUGAGCCGUGGCUUUCGGAGCUAACGCGUUAAGUAGACCGCCUGGGGAGUACGGUCGCAAGAUUAAAACUCAAAUGAAUUGACGGGGGCCCGCACAAGCGGUGGAGCAUGUGGUUUAAUUCGAUGCAACGCGAAGAACCUUACCUACUCUUGACAUCCAGAGAACUUUCCAGAGAUGGAUUGGUGCCUUCGGGAACUCUGAGACAGGUGCUGCAUGGCUGUCGUCAGCUCGUGUCGUGAGAUGUUGGGUUAA
rnacentral:rRNA from 1 species